UCGCAGACAACCACCAUCUGAUCCUCCCGAAUCCAACGGCAAGGAUAACUCCCCCUCUUUCUUGUGUUUCUUUCCGUCCACGGUCCACCCACGAGCCACGACCCACGAGACGCCCACUUAUCUUCCACCGGGAGGAAGUGGAUCCAUGGCGGCCUCUUCCAGAUCCACCGCCCUCCACCCUCUCCAUCCAUGGCGGCCGCCACCACACAAAGACAAAGGCUGGCAGCCACCGCAACCUCGCCAUCCAUGGCAUCUUCCCCUCCGCAUCCUGAAGCCGCCGCGUUACCAGCCGCCGCAACCUCUUCAUCCACGAACAUCUACCUCUCUACCGCCGCAUCGACCAUCUGCCGUCACGACGUUAGCCUCGUCUAGUAGGCGGGGACGCCCCUAAAGGCGGACCUAGUGCAUGCGUCGCUGGUUCCCAUCUUGCUGCAAGGAGCGACCAGGUCCCUCGUGGGCGUGCAGAAGCUGGAUGGGCCGGACGCGAUGACUACGGGCGUGCUCAAGGUCCCGCUUCAGCCUCCACCUGAUGGAGUUUCGCCGCAUCGGACCGGCGGGAUCCUCGGCAGGCUGUGAGCUGCAAGUCCCAACAGGCACUACAGGUUCGAUGGUGUUUUCAUCGGUUGAGACAGAGUGCCGUUCAGCAGCAUGGUUUGAGGCGAGAUGGUAGCGAAAAUGGUGUCUCCCUCUGAUGACCUCGGCGGGUACGGCCGGGUCUGUGGCCAUAAAGGCACGGGGAUUAACGAAAGUUGAAAUAUGGCGAGCGCCGCCGGCGCUUGAAGAGCUGGAGAGUAGCUUAGUGUGUCUCCAGGAGAUAUUUGUAAUUUUAAGUUUUUACUGAUUUUUUUGCUCCUGUACAUGUGUAUUUCCUGGUCUGUUUAUGUAACAUCCAUUUUAGUGAAUGAAAUGAGCAUAUAUAUUUUUCGGAUAAAA